rnacentral:rRNA from 1 species
UACAGAGGUCUCGAGCGUUGUUCGGAUUCAUUGGGCGUAAAGGGUGCGUAGGUGGCGCUGUAAGUCGGGUGUGAAAUCCUGAGGCUUAACCUCGGAACUGCAUUCGAUACUGCGGCGCUUGAGGACUGGAGAGGAGACUGGAAUUCAUGGUGUAGCAGUGAAAUGCGUAGAGAUCAUGAGGAAGACCAGUGGCGAAGGCGGGUCUCUGGGCCGUAACUGACGCUGAGGAGCGAAAGCAUGGGGAGCGAACAGG